GUCUGCGUGAAAAAUAUGCGCAGUCUGACCUGCCCACUGAAUAGCGUUUUAAAGGGCUGCGGUAAUUUGACCGUGCGAAGGUAGCAUAAUCAUUAGUCUUUUGAUUGAAGGCUUGAAUGAAUGGUUGGACGAUAAAAUAACUGUCUUGUUUGUUAAUAUUAAGAAUUUAACUUUUAUGUGAAAAGGCAUAAAUAUUUUAGGGGGACGAUAAGACCCUAUAAAACUUUACAUAGUUUAUUUAUUCUUUAAAGAUUAGUGAACCGAGAGGAGGUGUAAUAUGUUGGGCUGGGGUGGCAAGAAUAUAAAGAUUAACUGUUCAAAAAUAUAAAUAUAAAUAUAUAGAUAUUGAACCUUCAUUCUGAGGGUUAAAAGAUUAAGUUACUUUAGGGAUAACAGCGUGAUUUUCUUUGAGAGUUCUUAUCGACAAGAAUGAGUUGCGACCUCGAUGUUGAAUUAAGGUUAGUUUUUAGGCGGAGAAGCUUGAAGCUAUAGGUCUGUUCGACCUUUAAUAUCUUACAUGAUUUGAGUUCAAACCGGUGUGAG
rnacentral:rRNA from 1 species